GGUUGUGUUUGCUGUGCGCCCCAACAGACUAGAUGAACACUGGAAAUAGAGAAACUUCUGAUGGUUUUCUUCUUUGCACUCAUCGAAGGAAGGAACUGCAAUGGCUGCUCAGAAGAGGGAGGCCAGAACUGUUCUGGGUCGCAGAGAUGAUCCUCUGGAGAACUGCACACAGAAACAGUUUGUCAGGAUUUAAUGGAGCUGUGGUGGAAGGACACCAAGAGUUUCUGGUUCAGAGGAAGUGUCAUGUAAAAUUGACUUUUUUCAGCUUUACAUCAUGUUAAAAUGUCAUUCCCUCAUCGAAAACAAA